UAGGUCACGAGGAUAAGGAAUGCGCAGGUGCAAGACAUCAGCAACAGCAGCAGGCAGCAUGGAAGAGGGCAGAGCAUAAGAGUGUAAGAGCACAAGAGCAAGAGCCACCUACAUCUUUAUUGCAGAAUUCUUAUACAGCCACCUGCUUCCCUGCCCUCCACUACUAUAGAAGCGAUAACUCUAAACGCUUAACACCCAGCUUCUCCUGAAGAUGCGACAGGGUAUAAGACAGUCACGAAUAACAAGGCAAAUUUAUCUCAUAACAGAGACAUGACAUUGGGUUGACCAUGUCUCUACAAGGUGACAACAGUGAAGAAUGAGACUUCUCUGCAUCCUCAUGAAAGCUGAGUUCAGCAAACUUAAGUCCGACUGCAGAGCAGAAGACGACAAGGCGGUGGUGGUGGUGGUAGGUGAUUGGGUUCCUUCUUCUCCUGUCAUUAGUCACCUACCCAUUAGCAGCUGGAACUCUUCACCGGGUCUGGUCUCGACCAGAUGGGCCCAUCAGGGCGGCAGCGUCUGCUUCACGAGCCUGGCCCCUUGUCUUCUGUCCUUUCACCCAAGGUGUGGUAAGGCCUUCUGGCUUUGGUCAUGUCUGGACGGCCCUCACCAUUUCCUGUUUUCUUCUCAACUUGUCUCACCCGUGUAACCAAUUCCUUACAUUAAAGUCUCUCUGGCCCUUGGAACACUUGAAAAAAUUUUAAAUUUCUUUGAUGAAAAAUAAAUUGAUACGCUUAAAAAUUUGGAUUCUCAGUUUUACAC
rnacentral:lncRNA from 1 species